rnacentral:lncRNA from 1 species
UGAAAAUACAGAUCCUGUGUUCACGCUUGACAUUUAAGGAUCUGGGCCCAUAUGCCUAAAGCAACUUAAGUUAACUUUUUUUCCGAAAGGAUAGAUUUGUUCUUCUUGUCCUAGUACGAUGAAUAAGUACCGGUAGUACGAUUGGAUAUUUUAACUAAAAUGGUUUUAUGCAUAUCAGCCCUGCUAACAUCUCUUCUACUUGUUGUUCUCGAAAUCAUUACAUCAGUCAGUGAAAUUUCUAAGGGUUAUCAUGACGACAAAACCAGAAGAUUCCGAAAUGUCUUUCAAACAGAGAGUAGAAUAGAGUGUUGCCAGAUCUUUGUGCGUGAUGCGAGGUACAGGGUCUUAAUUUAUUUCAAUCGAAUGUAAUUUUUUGUACAUAUAGAGUUUUUGAAAAGUGGUGGUCCGAAGAUUUUGACCACCAUAGUUUUCAAAGGAAUGACACACAUUUGGGAUUUUGGACAUAUAAGUUAAUAUGCCUAGUGAGGAUCAGCAGACAUUCACCAAGGACCUCCAGAGAAAUUUUGUUUUUGAGAACUCUGUCAUAAUGUAUUAAUUUGCAUAUUUUUGUU